GCCUGGGUGGCUCAGUUGGUUGAGCGUCCGACUUCGGCUCAGGUCAUCAUCUGGCAGUGUGUGAGUUCGAGCCCCACGUCGGGCU
rnacentral:tRNA from 1 species